UAGCGUAAGGUUUGAGGUUUUUGGCAUUAGGGUUAAAAUCACUGUCCAAAACCUUUUUAGGAACUUGUUUCAGACCUUGUGGAGUUUGUACACCAAAAAAAAAAGUAAAAUGAAAAAAAAAUUAUUUGGAGUGUUCGGGCUUCCUGAAGGUAAUACCCGGGUAUUAGGUUAUGGGGCUAUGGUAAGGUUUAAGGUUUUUGACGUAAGGGUGAAAAUAACUGUCCAAAACCUUUGUAGGAACUCUUUUCCAACCUUAUGGAGUUCAUUAGACCAAAAAUAAAUGAAAAAUGAAAAAAAAAUAUUUGGGGUGUUCGGGCUUCCUGAAGGUAAUACCCGGGUAUUCGGUUAUGGGGCUUAGGAAAUAUUUAAGGUUUUUGGCGUUAGGGUUAAAAUCACUGUCCUAAACCUUUUUAGGAACAUGUUUCAGACCUUUUGCAGUUGGUUAAACCAAAAAAAAAAUGUAAAAUGAAAAAAAAUAUUUGGGGUGUUCGGGCUUCCUGAAGGUAAUACAUGAGUAUUAGGUUUUGGGGCUAGGGAAAGGUUUAAGGUUUUUGGCGUAAGGGUUAAAAUCAAUGUCCAAAACCUUUGUAGGAACUCUUUUCCAACAUUUCGGAGUUAGUUAGACCAAAAAAAAUGAAAAAUGAAAUAAAAAAUAUUUGGGGUGUUCAGGCUUCCUGAAGGUAAUACCCGGGUAUUAGGUUAUGGGGCUUAGGAAAGGUUUAAGGUUUUUGGCGUUAGGGUUAAAAUCACUGUCCAAAACCUUUGUAGGAACUCUUUUCCAAACUUUUGGAGUCAGUUAGACCAAAAAAAAAAGAAAAAUGAAAAAAAAAUUAUUUGGGGUUUUCAGGCUUCCUGGAGGUAAUACCCUAAUAUUAGGUUAAGGGGCUAUGGUAAGGUUUAAGGUUUUUGGCGAUAGGGUUAAACUAACUGUCCAAAACCUUUUUAGGAACAUGUUUCAGACCUUUUGGAGUUGGUUACACCAAAAAAAAAUGUAAAAUGAAAAAAAAAUAUUUGGGGUGUUCGGGCUUCCUGAAGGUAUUAGGUUAUGGGGCUAUGGUAAGGGUUCAGUUUUUUGUCGUUAGGGUGAAAAUUAUUGUCCAAAACCUUUGUAGGAACUCGUUUCCAACCUUUUGGAGUUAGUUAGACCAAAAAAAAAAGAAAAAUGAAAAAAAAAGUAUUUGGGGUUUUCGGGCUUCCUGAAGGUAAUACCUGGGUAUUAGGUUAUGGGGCUUAGGAAAGGUUUAAGGUUUUUGGCGUUAGGGUUAAAAUCACUGUCCAAAAACCUUUGUAGGAACUCUUUUCCAACCUUUUGGAGUUAGACCAAAAAAGAAUGAAAAAUGAAAAGAAAAUAUUUGGGGUUUUCGGGCUUCCUGAAGGUAAUACCCGGGUAUUAGGUUUUGGGGCUAGCGUAAGGUUUGAGGUUUUUGGCAUUAGGGUUAAAAUCACUGUCCAAAACCUUUUUAGGAACUUGUUUCAGACCUUGUGGAGUUUGUACACCAAAAAAAAAAGUAAAAUGAAAAAAAAAUUAUUUGGAGUGUUCGGGCUUCCUGAAGGUAAUACCCGGGUAUUAGGUUAUGGGGCUUAGGAAAUAUUUAAGGUUUUUGGCGUUAGGGUUAAAAUCACUGUCCUAAACCUUUUUAGGAACAUGUUUCAGACUUUUUGCAGUUGGUUAAACCAAAAAAAAAAAUGUAAAAUGAAAAAAAAUAUUUGGGGUGUUCGGGCUUCCUGAAGGUAAUACAUGGGUAUUAGGUUUUGGGGCUAGGGAAAGGUUUAAGGUUUUUGGCGUAAGGGUUAAAAUCUCUGUCCAAAACCUUUGUAGGAACUCUUUUCCAACCUUUUGGAGUUAGGUAGACCAAAAAAAAUGAAAAAUGAAAAAAAAAAUAUUUGGGGUGUUCGGGCUUCCUGAAGGUAGUAUUAGGUUAUGGGGCUUUGGAAAGGUUUAAGUUUUUUUGCGUUAGGGUUAAAAUCACUUUCCAUAACCUUUGUAGGAACUCUUUUCCAACCUUUUGGAGUUAGUCAGAAACAAAAAAAGAUAAAAAAUAAAAAAUAUUUAUUUGGGGUGUUUCGGCUUCCUGAAGGUAAUACCCGUAUUAGGUUAUGGGGCUACGGUAAGGUUUACGGUUUUUGGCGCUAGGGUUAAAAUCACUGUCCAAAAACCUUUUUAGGAACUCUUUUCCAACCUUUUGGAAUUAGGUAGACCAAAAAGAAAAAAAUAUUAUUUGGGGUUUUUGGGCUUCCUGAAGGUAAUACCCGGGUAUUAGGUUUUGGGGCUAGGGUAAGGUUUGAGGUUUUUGGCAUUAGGGUUAAAAUCACUGUCCAAAACCUUUUUAGGAACAUGUUUCAGACCUUUUGGAGUUUGUACACCAAAAAAAAAAGUAAAAUGAAAAAAUAAUAUUUGGGGUGUUCGGGCUUCCUGAAGGUAAUACAUGGGUAUUAUGUUAUGGAGCUUUGGAAAGGUUUAAGGUUUUUGGCGUUAGGUUUAAAAUCAAUGUCCAAAACCUUUUUAGGAACAUGUUCCAACCUUAUGGAGUUAACUAGACCAAACAAAAAAAGAAAAAUGAAAUAAAAAAUAUACGGGGUGUUCGGGCUUCCUGAAGGUAAUACCCGGGUAUUAGAUUAUGGGGCUAUGGUAAGGGUUCAGUUUUUUGGCGUUAAGGUUAAAAUCACUGUCCAAAACCUUUGUAGGAACUCUUUUCCAAGCUUUUGGAGCUGGUUACACUAAAAAAAAUGUAAAAUGAAAAAAAAAUAUUUGGGGUGUUCGGGCUUCCUGAAGGUAAUACCCGGGUAUUAGGUUAUGGGGCUAUGGUAAGUUUUAAGGUUUUUGGCAUUAGGGUUAAAAUCACUGUCCAAAACAUUUUUAGGAACAUGUUUCAGACCUUUUGGAGUUUGUACACCAAAAUAAAAAUGUAAAAUGAAAAAAAAAUAUUUGGGGUGUUCGGGCUUCCCGAAGGUAAUACCCGGGUAUCAGGUUAUGGGGCUAUGGUAAGGUUUAAGGUUUUUGGCGUUAGGGUUAAAAUUACUGUCCAAAACCUUUGUAGGAACUCUUUUCCAACCUUUUGGAGUUGGUUACACCAAAAAAAAAUGUAAAAUGAAAAAAAAAUAUUUGGGGUGUUCGGGCUUCCUGAAGGUAAUACCCGGGUAUUAGAUUAUGGGGCUAUGGUAAGGGUUCAGUUUUUUGGCGUUAGGGUUAAAAUUAUUGUCCAAAACCUUUGUAGGAACUCUUUUCCAACCUUUUGGAGUUAGUGAGACCAAAAAAAAAUGAAAAAUGAAAAAAAAAUAUUUGGGGUGUUCGGGCUUCCUGAAGGCAAUACCCGGGAAUCAGUUUCUUUGGCUUUGGAAAGGUUUAAGGUUUUUGGCGUUAGGGUUAAAAUCACUGUCCAAAACCUUUGUAGGAACUCUUUUCCAAGCUUUUGGAGUUAGUUAGACCAAAAAAACAUGAAAAAUAAAAAAUAUAUUGUGGGUGUUCGGGCAUCCUGAAGGUAAUACCCCGGUAUUAGGUUAUGGGGCUAUGGUAAGGGUUAAGGUUUUUGGAUUAGGGUUAAAAUCACUGUCCAAAACCUUUUUAGGAACAUGUUUCAGACCUUUUGCGGUUGGUUAAACCAAAAAAAAAUGUAAAAUGAAAAAAAUAUAUUUGGGGUGUUCGGGCUUCCUGAAGGACCUAUUAGGUUAUGGGACUAUGGUAAGGUUUAAGGUUUUUGGCGUUAGGGUUAAAACCACUGUCCAAAACCUUUGUAGGAACUCUUUUCCAACCUUUUGGAGUUAGUAAGACCAAAAAAAAUGAAAAACUAGGGCCCCGGUGGGGCACUGUCGGGCCCGAGCCGCGUCGCGCCACCCCCAGCGCGACCGCCUCCCCCUCCCGAUCGCGUCACACUCAAGGUCCAAAGAUGGUGUGCGCACUUGUCUGUGGUCAUUUCCCAUUAUAAUGAAUGGGAGGCGCAGUUUCUACCAAAACGCUCGCUGCAGACAAACUACAUGUCCUAUUUGAAAAAAGUCUGGACCAUGAGUGAGGGCACAAACACAGCUAGUAUAUAUCCAAAUGGCAAGUUGCUCCUCCUCUCGGUUUUGCAGAGAGAGCGAUGCGUUUGAGCCAUUGAGCGAUGGGCAGGAAAAACUUGACUUUUUCUCCUGCCAUGGGGGGGAGCUCUUUUGGGGAGAAAAAAUUCCUUCACAAAUGUGUUGAUGGCUGGACAUUGCAUCAUCCUAGAAAACUUGGAGGCCAGUGAGGACAAAAAUAAAAAGUUAUAAGACUUUUAAAAAUGUGGAUAUUUGGGUCCUCUUUGGCGCCCCCUAGAACGUAAACUGUGGGGUGCAGCGUCAUGAUUUGUACAACUUUGAAUGGCCAUGGGGUGUAGAUUGGCCUGAGCAAAUUUGAAGCCGAUGGGACAAAAGAUUUAGGAGGAGUUAGCGAAAUUCCAAUGUGUGCGGAUCGGCAAAAAAUGCGAAAUAACCCUUUAACCGUACAUUUGACAGAUACGCCCGCACUGACUUUUUUGUAGAUCUUAUUGAGAUACAUGUGUGUGUCAAAUUUUGUGUCAUUUUGACAAAGCGUUAAAGGCGUGACAGUCAACAAUGUGUAUUUUUGCCUUAGGAGACAAGAAAAAAUGGACUUUUUUCUCCUGCCAUGGGGGGGGCUCUUUUGGCGAGUAAAAAUUCCUUCACAAAUGUGUUGAUGGCUGGACAUUGCAUCAUCCUAGAGAACUUGGAGGCCAGUGAGGACAAAAAUAAAAAGUUAUAAGACUUUUAAGACUGUGGAUUUUUGGGUUAUCUUUGGCGCCCCCUAGAACGUAAACCGUGGGGUGCAGCGUCAUGAUUUGUACAACUUUUAAUGGCCAUGGGGUGUAGAUUGGCCUCAGCAAAUGUGGUGCCUUUGGAACGAAAGCCUUCGGAGGAGUUAGCGAAAUUCCAAUGUGUGCGGAUCGGCAAAAAAUGCGAAAUAGCCCUUUCACCGUACAUUUGACAGAUACGCCCGCACUGACUUUUUUGUAGAUCUUAUUGAGAUACAUGUGUGUGUCAAUUUUUGUGUCAAUAUGACAAAGCGUAAAGGCGUGACAGUCAAUAGUGUGAAUUUUCGCCUUAGGAGACAAGAAAAAAUGGACUUUUUUCUCCUGCCAUGGGGGGGCGCUCUUUUGGGGAGUAAAAAUUCCUUCACAAAUGUGUUGAUGGCUGGACAUUGCAUCAUCCUAGAAAACUUGGAGGCCAGUGAGGACAAAAAUAAAAAGUUAUACGACUUUUAAGAAUGUGGAUUUCUGGGUUAUCUUUGGCGCCCCCUAGAACGUAAACCGUGGGAUGCAGCGUCAUGAUUUGUACAACUUUUAAUGGCCAUGGGGUGUAGAUUGGCCUGAGCAAAUUUGGUGCCGGUGGAACGAAAGCCUUCGGAGGAGUUAGCGAAAUUCCAAUGUGUGCGGAUCGGCAAAAAAUGCGAAAUAGCCCUUUAACCGUACAUUUGACAGAUACGCCCGCACUGACUUUUUUGUAGAUCUUAUUGAGAUACACGUGUGUGUCAAUUUUUGUGUCAUUUUGACAAAGCGUACAGGCGUGACACUCAAUCAUGUGAAUUUUUCACCUUAGGGGGCGCUAUGGAGCCAUUUUGCAUUUGAUCUUUUGGGCGACUUCAGAAUAUCGAAUUUUUCACCAGGCCCGGUCGUCCUGCCAAAUUUCAUGACUUUUCACCAGUGGGAAGUGGGCCAUUUUCCAGUUCAAAGGGGCAGAAAAAUAAUAAGAAGACUAGGGCCCCGUUGGGGCACUGGCGGGCCCGAGCCGCGUCGCGCCGCCCCCAGCGCGACCGCCUCCCCGUCCCAUUCGUGCCCUCUGGCCAUCGCCCUCUCUGGUGACGCCCAUCACUGCAAAGACCCUUUUCCUUCAUCGGUGUUUGCUGUUCUUCCUGCCAUUGCGUGUUGCUUUCACUUACACUUGCCACAGCCAGCCUCGUGAGUGCCUGGCCUGGUUUGACCUUUGCUCACCAUGAUUGUGUGACCUUGGUAUCAGCUACUUGGGAAGUUCAACCGUUGUGGCAAAGCUUUGUUUGCGUGCUGUGCUCAACCACCUAUUUUCUAUGGAUGUGCAAGUAAACCACUUUCUUUCUUACACAAUGACACACUCAUACUUAUCACUCACUGCUACUGAUGUGCUCUGUUAGUAUGCAUGCAGGAAACCUGAUGAAUGAAGAAAUGCCCAGACUAGCCAACAUCUCAAUAAAUUAUGAGGUAUGACAUCACUUGAAUGGUUUCCUUGGACUAUGCUUCCAUUAUUCUAAUUCUGUAAUAAAAAAGAAAUUUUGUCCAAAAGGACUGUUGUUGUUUUUUCUUCUAAUAAUUAACAUAUUUAACAUAAUUAACAUUCAAUAUGCGCUUAUUACACACGUGCACACUCUUUGAUGAUCUGAGAAGCAGAGCUUAAAGGACAGUAGGAGUAGCUGAACAAAGUGUAUUUGUAGGAAAGCCGUAAGAGCUAUUGAAACGCCGUUUUCGCGGGUUGAAAGGUUAGGGUGUCCACCAAAGGUCAGAGGUCAAAUAACAUUUGUAUCUCAAACUGUGACGUCAAAGUCAAGGUCCAAAGAUGGUGUGCGCACCUGUCUUUGGUCAUUUCCCAUUAUAAUGAAUGGGAGGCACAGUUUCUACCAAAACGCUCGCUGCAGACAAACUACAUGUCCUAUUUGAAAAAACUCUGGACCAUGAGUGAGGGCACAAACACAGCUAGGACAUAUCCAAAUGGCAAGUUGCUCCUCCUUUUGGUUUUAGCGGGAGAGCAAUGCGUUUGAGCCAUUAAGCGAUGGGCAGGAAAAACUUGACUUUUUCUCCUGCCAUGGGGGGGCGCUCUUUUGGGGAGAAAAAAUUCCUUCACAAAUGUGUUGAUGGCUGGACAUUGCAUCAUCCUAGAAAACUUGGAGGCCAGUGAGGACAAAAAUAAAAAGUUAUAAGACUUUUAAAAAUGUGGAUAUUUGGGUCCUCUUUGGCGCCCCCUAGAACGUAAACUGUGGGGUGCAGCGUCAUGAUUUGUACUACUUUGAAUGGCCAUGGGGUGUAGAUUGACCUGAGCAAAUUUGAAGCCGAUGGGACAAAAGAUUUAGGAGGAGUUAGCCACAUUCCAAUGUGUGCGAAUCGGCAAAAAAUGCGAAAUAGCCCUUUAACCGUACAUUGAACAGAUACGCUCUCAUUGACUUUUUCGUAGAUCUUAUUGAGAUACAUGUGUGUGUCAAAUUUUGUGUCAUUUUGACAAAGCGUAAAGGCGUGACAGUCAACAAUGUGUAUUUUCGCCUUAGGAGACAAGAAAAAAUGGACUUUUUUCUCCUGCCAUGGGGGGGCGCUCUUUUGGCGAGUAAAAAUUCCUUCACAAAUGUGUUGAUGGCUGGACAUUGCAUCAUCCUAGAGAACUUGGAGGCCAGUGAGGACAAAAAUAAAAAGUUAUAAGACUUUUAAGACUGUGGAUUUUUGGGUUAUCUUUGGCGCCCCCUAGAACGUAAAACGUGGGGUGCAGCGUCAUGAUUUGUACAACUUUUAAUGGCCAUGGGGUGUAGAUUGACCUGAGCAAAUGUGGUGCCUUUGGAACGAAAGCCUUCGGAGGAGUUAGCGAAAUUCCAAUGUGUGCGGAUCGGCAAAAAAUGCGAAAUAGCCCUUUAACCGUACAUUUGACAGAUACGCGCGCAUUGACUUUUUUGUAGAUCUUAUUGAGAUACAUGUGUGUGUCAAUUUUGGUGUCAAUAUGACAAAGCGUAAAGGCGUGACAGUCAAUAGUGUGAAUUUUCGCCAGUAGGAGACAAGAAAAAAUUGACUUUUUUCUCCUACCAUGGGGGGGCGCUCUUUUGGCGAGUAAAAAUUCCUUCACAAAUGUGUUGAUGGCUGGACAUUGCAUCAUCCUAGAGAACUUGGAGGCCAGUGAGGACAAAAAUAAAAAGUUAUAAGACUUUUAAGACUGUGGAUUUUUGGGUUAUCUUUGGCGCCCCCUAGAACGUAAACCGUGGGGUGCAGCGUCAUGAUUUGUACAACUUUUAAUGGCCAUGGGGUGUAGAUUGGCCUGAGCAAAUGUGGUGCCGGUGGAACGAAAGCCUUCGGAGGAGUUAGCGAAAUUCCAAUGUGUGCGGAUCGGCAAAAAAUGCGAAAUAACCCUCUAACCGUACAUUUGACAGAUACGCCCGCACUAACUUUUUUGUAGAUCUUAUUGAGAUACAUGUGUGUGUCAAUUUUUGUGUCAAUAUGACAAAGCGUAAAGGCGUGACAGUCAAUAGUGUGAAUUUUCACCUUAGGGGGCGCUUUGGAGCCAUUUUGCAUUUUAUUGUUUGGGCGACUUCAGAAUAUCGAAUUUUUCACCAGGCCCAUUCGUCCUGCCAAAUUUCAUGAGUUUUCGCCAGUGGGAAGUGGGCCAUUUUCCCCUUCAAAGGGGAGGAAAAAUAAGAAGAAAGAAAGAAAGAAAGAAAGAAAGAAAGAAGAAAGAAAAACCUUUACAGGAAUAAUAGGGCUCUACGCCCGGCUGCUCUGCAGCUGGCUCGGGCCCUAAAGACUAGGGCCCCGGUGGGGCACUGUCGGGCCCGAGCCGCGUCGCGCCGCCCCCAGCGCGACCGCCUCCCCCUCCCGAUCGCGUCACACUCAAGGUCCAAAGAUGGUGUGCGCACUUGUCUGUGGUCAUUUCCCAUUAUAAUGAAUGGGAGGCGCAGUUUCUACCAAAACGCUCGCUGCAGACAAACUACAUGUCCUAUUUGAAAAAAGUCUGGACCAUGAGUGAGGGCACAAACACAGCUAGUAUAUAUCCAAAUGGCAAGUUGCUCCUCCUCUCGGUUUUGCAGAGAGAGCGAUGCGUUUGAGCCAUUGAGCGAUGGGCAGGAAAAACUUGACUUUUUCUCCUGCCAUGGGGGGGAGCUCUUUUGGGGAGAAAAAAUUCCUUCACAAAUGUGUUGAUGGCUGGACAUUGCAUCAUCCUAGAAAACUUGGAGGCCAGUGAGGACAAAAAUAAAAAGUUAUAAGACUUUUAAAAAUGUGGAUAUUUGGGUCCUCUUUGGCGCCCCCUAGAACGUAAACUGUGGGGUGCAGCGUCAUGAUUUGUACAACUUUGAAUGGCCAUGGGGUGUAGAUUGGCCUGAGCAAAUUUGAAGCCGAUGGGACAAAAGAUUUAGGAGGAGUUAGCGAAAUUCCAAUGUGUGCGGAUCGGCAAAAAAUGCGAAAUAACCCUUUAACCGUACAUUUGACAGAUACGCCCGCACUGACUUUUUUGUAGAUCUUAUUGAGAUACAUGUGUGUGUCAAAUUUUGUGUCAUUUUGACAAAGCGUAAAGGCGUGACAGUCAACAAUGUGUAUUUUUGCCUUAGGAGACAAGAAAAAAUGGACUUUUUUCUCCUGCCAUGGGGGGCGCUCUUUUGGCGAGUAAAAAUUCCUUCACAAAUGUGUUGAUGGCUGGACAUUGCAUCAUCCUAGAGAACUUGGAGGCCAGUGAGGACAAAAAUAAAAAGUUAUAAGACUUUUAAGACUGUGGAUUUUUGGGUUAUCUUUGGCGCCCCCUAGAACGUAAACCGUGGGGUGCAGCGUCAUGAUUUGUACAACUUUUAAUGGCCAUGGGGUGUAGAUUGGCCUCAGCAAAUGUGGUGCCUUUGGAACGAAAGCCUUCGGAGGAGUUAGCGAAAUUCCAAUGUGUGCGGAUCGGCAAAAAAUGCGAAAUAGCCCUUUCACCGUACAUUUGACAGAUACGCCCGCACUGACUUUUUUGUAGAUCUUAUUGAGAUACAUGUGUGUGUCAAUUUUUGUGUCAAUAUGACAAAGCGUAAAGGCGUGACAGUCAAUAGUGUGAAUUUUCGCCUUAGGAGACAAGAAAAAAUGGACUUUUUUCUCCUGCCAUGGGGGGGCGCUCUUUUGGGGAGUAAAAAUUCCUUCACAAAUGUGUUGAUGGCUGGACAUUGCAUCAUCCUAGAAAACUUGGAGGCCAGUGAGGACAAAAAUAAAAAGUUAUACGACUUUUAAGAAUGUGGAUUUCUGGGUUAUCUUUGGCGCCCCCUAGAACGUAAACCGUGGGAUGCAGCGUCAUGAUUUGUACAACUUUUAAUGGCCAUGGGGUGUAGAUUGGCCUGAGCAAAUUUGGUGCCGGUGGAACGAAAGCCUUCGGAGGAGUUAGCGAAAUUCCAAUGUGUGCGGAUCGGCAAAAAAUGCGAAAUAGCCCUUUAACCGUACAUUUGACAGAUACGCCCGCACUGACUUUUUUGUAGAUCUUAUUGAGAUACACGUGUGUGUCAAUUUUUGUGUCAUUUUGACAAAGCGUACAGGCGUGACACUCAAUCAUGUGAAUUUUUCACCUUAGGGGGCGCUAUGGAGCCAUUUUGCAUUUGAUCUUUUGGGCGACUUCAGAAUAUCGAAUUUUUCACCAGGCCCGGUCGUCCUGCCAAAUUUCAUGACUUUUCACCAGUGGGAAGUGGGCCAUUUUCCAGUUCAAAGGGGCAGAAAAAUAAUAAGAAGAAGAAGAAGAAAGAAGAAUCCAUCAGGAAUAAUAGGGCUCUCGCAGCUGCUUAGCAGCUACGCUCGGGCCCUAAUGAAAAACAAAUAUUUGGGGUGUUCGGGAUUCCUGAAGGUCAUCCCCGGGUAUUAGGUUUUGGGGCUAGGGUAAGGUUUAAGGUUUUUGGCGUAAGGGUUAAAAUCCCUGUCCAAAACCUUUGUAGGAACUCUUUUCCAACCUUUUGGAGUUAGACCAAAAAAGAAUGAAAAAUGAAAAGAAAAUAUUUUGGGUUUUCGGGCUUCCUGAAGGUAAUACCCAGGUAUAAGGUUAUCGGGCCAGGGUUAGGUUUUAGGUUUUUGGCGUUAGGGUUAAUAUCAAUGUCCAAAACCUUUGGAGGAACUCUUUUCCAACCUUUUGGAGGUAGUUAGUCAAAAAAAAAAGAAAAAUUAAAAAAAAUAUUUGUGGUUUUCGGGCUUCCUGAAGGUAAUACCCAGGUAUUAGGUUAUGGGGCUUUGGAAAGUUUUAGGGUUUUUGGCAUUAGGGUUAAAAUCACUAUCCGAAACCUUUGUAGGAACUCUUUUCCAACAGUUCGGAGUUAGUUAGACCAAAAAAAAAAUGAAAAAUGAAAUAAAAAAUAUUUGGGGUGUUCAGGCUUCCUGAAGGUAAUACCCGGGUAUUAGGUUAUGGGGCUUAGGAAAAGUUUAAGGUUUUUGGCAUUAGGGUUAAAAUCACUGCCCAAAACCUUUGUAGGAACUCUUUUCCAACCUUUUGGAGUCAGUUAGACCAAAAAAAAAAGAAAAAUGAAAAAAAAAAUAUUAUGGGUUUUCAGCCUUCCUGGAGGUAAUACCCGGGUAUUAGGUUAUGGGGCUAUGGUAAGGUUUAAGGUUUUUGGCGAUAGGGUUAAACUAACUUUCCAAAACCUUUUUAGGAACAUGUUUCAGACCUUUUGGAGUUGGUUACACCAAAAAAAAAAUGUAAAAUGAAAAAAAAAUAUUUGGGGUGUUCGGGCUUCCUGAAGGUAAUACCCAGGUUAUGGGGCUAUGGUAAGGGUUCAGUUUUUUGGCGUUAGGGUUAAAAUUAUUGUCCAAAACCUUUGUAGGAACUCUUUUCCAACCUUUUGGAGUUAGUUAGACCAAAAAAAAAAGAAAAAUGAAAAAAAAAUAUUUGGGGUUUUCGGGCUUCCUGAAGGUAAUACCUGGGUAUUAGGUUAUGGGGCUUAGGAAAGGUUUAAGGUUUUUGGCGUUAGGGUUAAAAUCACUGUCCAAAAACCUUUGCAGGAACUCUUUUCCAACCUUUUGGAGUUAGGUAGACCAAAAAAAAAAGAAAAAAGAAAAAAAAAUAUUUGGGGUUUUCCGGCUUCCUGAAGGUAAUACCCGGGUAUUAGGUUUUGGUGCUAGGGUAAGGUUUCAGGUUUUUGGCGUUAGGGUUAAAAUGACUGUCCAAAACCUUUUUAGGAACAUGUUUCAGAUCUUUUGCAGUUGGUUAAACCAAAAAAAAAAAGUAAAAUGAAAAAAAAAUAUUUGGGGUGUUCAGGCUUCCUGAAGGUAAUACCCGGGUAUUAGGUUAUGGGGCUAUAGUAAGGUUUAAGGUUUUUGAAGUUAGGGUUAAAAUAACUGUCCAAAACCUUUGUAGGAACUCUUUUCCAACCUUUUGGAGUUAGGUAGACCAAAAAAAAAAGAAAAAGAAAAAAAAAAUAUUUGGGGUGUUCGGGCUUCCUGAAGGUAAUAGGAAAUUGGAAAGGUUUAAGGUUUUUGGCGUUAGGGUUAAAAUCACUGUCCAAAAACCUUUGUAGGAACCCUUUUCCAAGAAAAAUGAAAAAAAAAUAUUUGGGGUGUUCGGGCUUCCUGAAGGUAAUAGGAAUAGGAAAGGUUUAAGGUUUUUGGCGUUAGGGUUAAAAUUACUGUCCAAAAACCUUUGUAGGAACUCUUUUCCAACCUUUUGGAGUUAGGUAGACCAAAAAAAAAAGAAAAACGAAAAAAAAAUAUUUGGGGUGUUCGGGCUUCCUGAAGGUAAUACCCGGUUAUUAGGUUUUGGGGCUAGGGUAAGGUUUGAGGUUUUUGGCAUUAGGGUUAAAAUCACUGUCCAAAACCUUUUAGGAACAUGUUUCAGACCUUUUGGAGUUUGUACACCAAAAAAAAAAAUGUAAAAUGAAAAAAAAAAUAUUGGGGGUGUUCGGGCUUCCUGAAGGUAAUACCCGGGUAUCAGGUUAUGGGACUAUGGUAAGGUUUAAGGUUUUUGGCGUUAGGGUUAAAAUCACUGUCCAAAACCUUUGUAGGAACUCUUUUCCAACCUUUUGGAGGCAGUUAGACCAAUAAAAAAUAAAAAAAAUAAAAAAAAAUUAUUUGGGGUGUUCGGGCUUCCUGAAGGUAAUACCCGGGUAUUAGAUUAUGGGGCUAUGGUAAGGUUUAAGGUUUUUGGUGAUAGGGUUAAAAUCACUGUCCAAAACCUUUGUAGGAACUCUUUUCCAACCUUUUUGAGUCAGUUAGACCAAAAAAAAAUUAAAAAUGAAAAAAAAAUAUUUGGGGUGUUUGGGCUUCCUGAAGGUAAUACCCUAAUAUUACGUUAUGGGGCUAUGGUAAGGUUUAAGGUUUUUGGCGAUAGGGUUAAACUAACUGUCCAAAACCUUUUUAGGAACAUGUUUCAGACCUUUUGGAGUUGGUUAUACCAAAAAAAAAAUGAAAAAUGAAAAAAAAAUAUUUGGGGUUUUCGGGCUUCCUGAAGGUAAUACCCGGGUAUUAGGUUUUUGGGCUAGGGUAAGGUUUGAGGUUUUUGGCGUUAGGGUUAAAAUCACUGUCCAACACCUUUUAAGGAACAUGUUUCAGACCUUUUGCAGUUGGUUAAACCAAAAAAAAAAAGUAAAAUGAAAAAAAAAUAUUUGGGGUGUUCGGGCUUCCUGAAGGUAAUACCCGGGUAUAAGGUUAUGGGGCUAUGGUAAGGUUUAAGGUUUUUGACGUUAGGGUGAAAAUAACUGUCCAAAACCUUUGUAGGAACUCUUUUCCAACCUUAUGGAGUUCGUUAGACCAAAAAAAAAAGAAAAAUGAAAAAAAAAUAUUUGGGGUGUUCGGGCUUCCUGAAGGUAAUAGGAAAUAGGAAAGGUUUAAGGUUUUUGGCGUUAGGGGUAAAAUCACUGUCCAAAAACCUUUGUAGGAACUCUUUUCCAAGAAAAAUGAAAAAAAAAUAUUUGGGGUGUUCGGGCUUCCUGAAGGUAAUAGGAAUAGGAAAGGUUUUAGGUUUUUGGCGUUAGGGUUAAAAUCACUGUCCAAAAACCUUUGUAGGAACUCUUUUCCAACCUUUUGGAGUUAGGUAGACCAAAAAAAAAAGAAAAACGAAAAAAAAAUAUUUGGGGUGUUCGGGCUUCCUGAAGGUAAUACCCAGGUAUUAGGGUUUUGGGGCUAGGGUAAGGUUUGAGGUUUUUGGCAUUAGGGUUAAAAUCACUGUCCAAAACCUUUUUAGGGACAUGUUUCAGACCUUUUGGAGUUUGUACACCAAAAGAAAAAUGUAAAAUGAAAAAAAAAUAUUUGGGGUGUUCUGGCUUCCUGAAGGUAGUACCCGGGUAUCAGGUUAUGGGGCUAUGGUAAGGUUUAAGGUUUUUGGCGUUACGGUUAAAAUUACUGUCCAAAACCUUUGUAGGAACUCUUUUCCAACCUUUUGGAGUCAGUAUGACCAAAAAAAAAAAUAAAAAAAAAUAAAAAAAAAUAUUUGGGGUGUUCGGGCUUCCUGAAGGUAAUACCCGGGUAUUAGGUUAUGGGGCUAUGGUAAGGGUUCAGUUUUUUGGCAUUAGGGUUAAAAUUAUUGUCCAAAACCUUUGGAGGAACUCUUUUCCAACCUUUUGGAGUUAGUUAGACCAAAAAAAAAAGAAAAAUGAAAAAAAAAUAUUUGGGGUUUUCGGGCUUCCUGAAGGCAAUACCCGGGAAUCAGUUUCUGGGGCUUUGGAAAGGUUUAAGGUUUUUGGCGUUAGGGUUAAAAUCACUGUCCAAAACCUCUGUAGGAACUCUUUUCCAAGCUUUUGGAGUUAGUUAGACCAAAAAAAAAUGAAAAAUGAAAAAAAAAAUAUUUGGGGUGUUCGGGCUUCCUGAAGGUAAUACCCAGGUAUUAGGUUAUGGGGCUAGGGUAAGGUUUUAGGUUUUUGGCGUUAGGGUUAAAAUUAUUGUCCAAAACCUUUGUAGGAACUCUUUUCCAAGCUUUUGGAGUUAGUUAGACCAAAACAACAUGAAAAAUAAAAAAAUAUAUAUUUGGGGUGUUCGGGCAUCCUGAAGGUAAUACCCGGGUAUUAGGUUUUGGGGCUAAGGUAAGGUUUAAGGUUUUUGGCGUGAGGGUUAAAAUCACUGUCCAAAGCCUUUGGAGGAACUCUUUUCCAACCUUUUGGAGUCAGUUACACCAAAAAAAAAUGUAAAAUGAAAAAAAAAUAUUUGGGUUGUUCGGGGUUCCUGAAGGUAAUACCCCGGUAUUAGGUUAUGGGGCUAUGGUAAGGUUUAAGGUUUUUGGCAUUAGGGUUAAAAUCACUGUCCAAAACCUUUUUUGGAACAUGUUUCAGACCUUUUGCAGUUGGUUAAACCAAAAAAAAUGUAAAAUGAAAUAAAAAAUAUUUGGAUUGCAAAAAUAUAUCAAGGUCCAAAGAUGGUGUGCGCACUUGUCCGUGGUCAUUUACCAUUAUAAUGAAUGGGAGGCGCAGUUUCUACCAAAACACUUGCUGCAGACAAACUUCAUGACCUAUAUGAAAAAAGUCUGGACCAUGAGUGAGGGCACAGCCAGUAUAUAUCCAAAUGGCAAGUUUCUCCUCCUUUCGGUUUUGCAGAGAGAGUGGUGUGUUUGAGCCAUUGAGCGAUGGGCAGGAAAAACUUGACUUUUUCUCCUGCCUUGGGGGGGGCACUCUUUUGGUGAGAAAAAAAUUACUUCACAAAUGUGUUGAUGGCUGAACAUUGCAUCAUCCUAGAAAACUUGGAUGAGUGGCCAAAACUUCUUUGUCUGCUGUAAAAUCAAAUUGGAUUAAUAUUUUUUCCAGAUUUUUUUUUUUGUACAUCUCUUAUUUUACUUCUGCCCAGGGGCGGAUCUACUGGGGUGGCAUGGGGUGGCAGGUGCCACCCUAAAAUUAACCCUUGCCACCCCUGCUGCCACCCCAACCGGCAGCAAUGAACCGGUAGAAAAAUGUAACAGGUACGAGCGCGAAGUUCCGAUGUCCGACGACAGUGAAUGCAGCACGAGAGAGCGCGAGAGCGACACGAGACUUCUUUGGUGGGAGAGGCGCGAACUUACAGUCUAUGGGCUCGAAGCGAGAGAGAGACAGAGACAGAAAAAGGCACGAGGAAAGAGGUAAAAGCCAUUUUCAGGCAUGAAAAUCUCUCACCUUUCGGCGAAAUUCGCCGUUUUGAAGUCAAAAAAGGUGACUUACAUGAAUCGUGUAGAUCCGAGGAGAUUUUUUUUUUUUUUUUGGGGGGGGGGGGGGGGUCGGGGUCGGGGUCGGGAGAUUUAUUUAUUUAUUUUUUAAUUAUCAUGUGAUUGACUUAAUACGUAAACUGAACACUUCAGAAAUCGGCCCUUUAAAUGACACUUGGACGGUCAGCAAAUCCUCCUGGCUGCCUCGCUGACGAGAACCAAUCAUGCGCACACUCUUCACGUGUACUUGGAGUACUUGGAGAGCCUGUGGUAGCAUUGCAAAGCUGCGAGAACGAGAACCAGGACUUAUCCACGCCGGUGUUGUGCCGUAGAAUGCCCCCCUGACGAGAGCGCGGUUGAAAGUACGUAACAAGGCGAAAUAAUCGAAGUUUUCCUUACCGUUGGACGGAUUCAAAAGCGUGUGCCUUUAAUGAUUUCAUUCAGGUUAUACAGAUUAGCCGAAAACAAUAGCCCUCUGAUUCAGAAUAUUUGCUGUCCCGAAAGUUUAUUGUUCUUUACCUUGACUCACCUAUUUUUUCCGAGUUUUUUUUCCCGCCAAAUACGCCCAACUGAAUAAAACAUAAACUUAUAAAAACUUGAAACCUCUCUGUGAAACGUGCUUGUAAAUUGUGGUAAACAUCCAUGGGCUUUGUGUUCUGUUUGUGCCUGUGUGCGUGUUGCGGUGAACAGCUGUAUGAUCAGCUGAUGCACGUACCCGCGACUGCGCCCUGUGAAACCCCAUUCAAAAACUAAAGUAUUUUUAUUAUUAGCACUUCAUAGACCACAUCCCCGCCCAUCUACACCUAGGUGACCACAAUAUAUAUUUUUUAGAUAAUUCGGCACUAGUUCGGCCUGUCAAAUCAUCUGAUCAAAGCCAGUUUAUUUACUUUUAUCCACAGCGGAGAGCGCGCCCGGCGCUUAUUUUCUUUUUUGAUGAGCGCCCGGCUCAUCAGCUGGCCGAGUACGCGUCACGAUGAUGCGACUACUCGAGGACCUCGAGUUACGUGACGUUUGCUUUGUUUAGUGCAGUUCAGGCAACGUCUUAGUUAUUUGUACACGUUUGCAUCAUAGCACUCUUCUAAAGCCGCUACAAAAUAAACCCAACAGUUUAAAAACAGUAAAAAAUAGUAGACCUUCUGAGUACCUUAUAUGUCAAAUUCAAGAAAUCAUUUGGUAAGUGAAAGUACAUAUGGGUUAAGAAGUUAGAGGGGGCACUUUUAGAUAUUAAUGUUCAGUUUAUCUAGCAAGUUUGCAGCUCAUAUUAAUUUUAAUAUACCCAUUCCACAGAAAACAAGUCACAGAGAGCAGGGCAAACAUGUUCAAGAGAUUAAAACAGAAUACCCUGGAUGCAUUUCUGGCAAAGAAAAAGAAAGAAAUUGACAAAGAGGAAGAUAGUAAACAUGAAACCAAGGAGGAUGGAAGAGAGAAUAGGGAAAGUUAGGUGUAGCAGAGAGAGGAGAGUCAUUCAGAGAUGGAAGGGGAGCAGAGGCACACGG